rnacentral:rRNA from 1 species
ACUUUAGAUAUGAUCCAGAGUACCACGGGACACGUGAAACCCUGUGGGAAGCAGGAGGGACCACCCUCCAAGGCUAAAUACUACCUAGUGACCGAUAGCGUAUAGUACCGUGAGGGAAAGGUGAAAAGAACCCCGGGAGGGGAGUGAAAUAGAACCUGAAACCCUGCACUUACAAGCUGUGGAAGCACAUUUCUUGUGUGACCGCGUACUUUUUGUAGAACGGGCCAACGAGUUACGUUAAGUAGCAAGGUUAAGCACUUAAGGUGUGGAGCCGUAGCGAAAGCGAGUUUUAACUGAGCGUUCAGUUACUUGACGUAGACCCGAAACCGGGCGACCUACCCAUGAGCAGGAUGAAGCGAAAGUAAAAUUUCGUGGAGGUCCGAACCCACGAGCGUUGAAAAGCUCGGGGAUGACUUGUGGGUAGCGGUGAAAUUCCAGUCGAGCCCGGAGAUA